GGUCAAUUAGCUCACUUGGUUAGAGCAUGAUGCUAAUAAUGCCAGGGUUGUGGGUUCAAUCCUCAUAUGGGCCC